GAUCUCCAGGUCUUGUAUUAUGAGUAUGAUGUUGGGGGGGAGCCACGUAAUUUUCGUGAUGUUUUUCUGCAAAGCCAGGCUCUGGAGGGCAUAAUACUAUCUAUGAUUAUUGAAGCACCAAAGGAUGAAGAAAUAGCUCUGCUUCUAGAGAUUUUUGGGCUAUGUCUCACUGGAAGGAAAAGGAAGUCCAU